GCAUCGCGCUUAUUCACUGUAAAAAGGUUUUAAAAAUCGUAUUUUGAAAUUCGCGCCCGAUCCGAAUUGUCGCGAAGUGUUCCGUCGUACUGUCGAAGUUCGGCGAUCGCGUAUUUUCAUUAUCCAUGCAAAAUUCAAAUGUCAAAGUGAAAUUAGAAAUUAUUCUCAUCAGAAAUCAACGAACAAGUCAAACUGAAUUAUUUUAUCCAGUGUGAUGAUUAUUUGCGCGACCCCGUCAAACGAGCCAUCUCGAACUACAAUCAGACCGUAUCCAAAAAGCCCAAGAUGAAGACUUCAAUACUUCGAGCAGCUGGUCUUCCUCAAAACCCCAUCAAAGCCCAUCGGCAGCAUUGCGACAUUUUCUGGGAGCCCUCAAGCUAGGAAUGUACUCGGGCUGCUUCACUCAGUCAAUUUAAACGGAAUAAAUGCACAAACUGCACAAAAUAUUUUAUUAGGUUAUGCUAUGUUCUACUGCGAUUAGAUGAAAAAGCGGGGGCCUGCAUGUUCUUCAACAGUUAAUUUAAUUAGUAGGUAAUUUGGAUAAAUUUCACCCUUUUUUUUGGAAUCACUAAAGAUUGGAAGUCAAUUGAUUUUACAUUCGUUAAGCAGGGAUGGAUUUUUUGCCUCCAGGAAGCAUCUUCAUUACAGGAAAUUUUUGAGAGAGAAAUGUAGAACAUUGACUCAUC